ACUCAAAUGAAUAGACGGGGGCCCGCACAAGCGGCGGAGCAUGCGGAUUAAUUCGAUGCAACGCGAAGAACCUUACCUGGGUUUGACAUCGCCCGUUUACCUGCAGAGAUGCGGGGUCCUUCGGGGCGGGUGACAGGUGGUGCAUGGCUGUCGUCAGCUCGUGUCGUGAGAUGUUGGGUUAAGUCCCGCAACGAGCGCAACCCUCGUUCGAUGUUGCCAGCGGGUUAUGCCGGGGACUCAUCGAAGACUGCCGGGGUCAACUCGGAGGAAGGUGGGGAUGACGUCAAGUCAUCAUGCCCCUUAUGUCCAGGGCUUCACGCAUGCUACAAUGGCCGGUACAAAGGGUUGCGAUGCCGUGAGGUGGAGCGAAUCCCAAAAAGCCGGUCUCAGUUCGGAUCGGGGUCUGCAACUCGACCCCGUGAAGUCGGAGUCGCUAGUAAUCGCAGAUCAGCAACGCUGCGGUGAAUACGUUCCCGGGCCUUGCACACACCGCCCGU
rnacentral:rRNA from 1 species